rnacentral:rRNA from 1 species
UGAGGAAUAUUGGGCAAUGGAGGAAACUCUGACCCAGCCAUGCCGCGUGAGUGAGAAGGUUUUCGAAUUGUAAAGCUCUUUCAGGUGAGAAGAUGAUGACGGUAUCACCAGAAGAAGCCCCGGCAAACUUCGUGCCAGCAGCCGCGGUAAUACGAAGGGGGCGAGCGUUGUUCGGAAUUACUGGGCGUAAAGGGUGUGUAGGCGGCUAAGUAAGAUAGUGGUGAAAUGCCAGGGCUCAACCUUGGAAUUGCCAUUAUAACUAUUUAGCUAGAAUGAUGUAGAGGAUGGCGGAAUACCCAGUGUAGAGGUGAAAUUCGUAGAUAUUGGGUAGAACACCAGAGGCGAAGGCGGCCAUCUGGGCAUCUAUUGACGCUGAGGCACGAAAGCAUGGGGAUCAAACA